UCUCUCGUGGACGCUUUUCCAAGUUCAAAUACCCUCCUGGAGGAUUUCGGUGUAACUGGUGCCCAGAGAGGGUGUGGACCGUUCCAGAGACGACACGGCACCGUGGGCCUGUUGCCAGAACGUGGCCCGUCUUGUGCAUAUAUUAAUCGUUAGAAGGAUGAGCUGACAUUUAUCCAGCAGCUACUGAAUGCAGCCCGGCGACUCCAGAACAAGGCUACUGUUAUGAUCCCAUUUUCAGGCGUGGAAACUGAGGCCCAGAGAGAAAAGGCUUGGCCACUCACAUAGCCAGGAAAUGGGGCUGGAUUUGCAAAUCUGAACCUGGAUGGACCCUCCCUUCCUUGCUUCUUCAGCCCCAUCACGAGUACCACUCUCAUCUGGAAGCUCUGAGGAGCUCUAGGGGGACUUCCGGAAGGAGGAAGCAUCACUCGGAAGUGUUGGAGCCAAGCAUUGCAGAUUGCCUCUCCCACAGCACCAUUUGUCCCCUGCUGGAUUCCCAUCGCCUAGAACAGGAGUGGGGGACGUCUGGUCCAUGGGUCGCUUAAGGUCUGAGGAAUCAUUUGGUCUGGCCUGCCAAGGCAUUAGGGAAAAGCUGUUUGGAGGAAAAACCAGAUGGGGACAGUGGAGGGGGGUGUGAAUGACCUCAGCCAGUGGCGGUUCCAUCACUGCCACCAGGGUUAGCGACUCAAGUGAUGCUGACGUCAGUGGGUGGCAGUGCCCUCGGCAGGUGCUGAGCUCAGGAACUCCACACCACGCUCCGCGUACCCUCUUGCCCUUCCUGGGGCCAGCUCGGCUCCAGCUACCAAACCUCCAAUGUCUUCAGGAAGUAGAACCCAGCCUCAUCGGCCUAUUUAUUCAGCUAACUUUAUUGAGCACCUACUGUGUACAGGCUCUAGGCAGUGACCGAGGCUGAGCUGGUUAUGGGAGAGUUUAUGGUGAGCCAGUGGGACUGUCUGAUUGAACUUUUAAAAAGAUCCCUCUGGCCCUAACCUGUUUGGCUCAGUGGAUAGAGCGUUGGCCUGUGGACUGAAAGGUCCCAGGUUCGAU